CCUACGGGUGGCAGCAGUGAGGAAUAUUGGUCAAUGGUCGGAAGUCUGAACCAGCCAAGCCGCGUGAGGGAAGAAGGCACAGUGUAUUGUAAACCGCUUUUGUCAGAGUAUAAAGCUGGGUAAGCGUACUCGGAUGAGCGUACCUUAAGAAUAAGCAUCGGCUAACUCCGUGCCGGCAGCCGCGGUAAUACGGAGGAUGCGAGCGUUAUCCGGAGUUAGUGGGUUUAAAGGGUGCGUAGGCGGAUUGAUAAGUUAUCAGUGAAAGGUCCGAGCUUAAACCCGGAACCGCCGUUUAAACUGGUGAUCUAGAGUGUAGAUGAGGUAGGCGGAAUGGACGGUGUAGCGGUGAAAUGCUUAGAUAUCAUACAGAACACCGAUUGCGAAGGCAGCAUACC
rnacentral:rRNA from 1 species